AACGAACGCUGGCGGCAGGCUUAACACAUGCAAGUCGAACGGGUGUAGCAAUACAUCAGUGGCAGACGGGUGAGUAACACGUGGGAACCUUCCUAGGGGUACGGAACAACUCAGGGAAACUUGAGCUAAUACCGUAUACGUCCGUGAGGAGAAAGAUUUAUCGCCCUUAGACGGGCCCGCGUCGGAUUAGGUAGUUGGUGGGGUAACGGCCUACCAAGCCUACGAUCCGUAGCUGAUCUUAGAGGAUGAUCAGCCACACUGGGACUGAGACACGGCCCAGACUCCUACGGGAGGCAGCAGUGGGGAAUCUUGGACAAUGGGCGCAAGCCUGAUCCAGCCAUGCCGCGUGAGUGAAGAAGGCCUUAGGGUUGUAAAGCUCUUUUACCAGGGACGAUAAUGACGGUACCUGGAGAAUAAGCCCCGGCAAACUUCGUGCCAGCAGCCGCCGUAU
rnacentral:rRNA from 1 species